rnacentral:lncRNA from 1 species
UUCCCUUUAUUCUGAUUUCUUCCUGAUGUAGACCUUCGCUGUGCUUGAUUACCAUGAGCACCAUCACUCCUAUUUCGCUUCCUUUGCUGUUCUCUAUACUGAUGAAGCUCCUCAUUAUCUUUCUCUGCUAUAAGGGCUCUGUCAACAACCUCUGAAUAAACACCAAGCUUCAGAAUAGAUAUCUUGUUCUUCAAAUAAGGCUUCAAUCCAUCCUGAAACUUUAAUGCCUUUUCCUCCUCUGUAGCAAUCAACUGUGGGGAAAAACGUGAUAACUCUGUAAAUUUGGCCUCAUACUGAGCCACAGUGA